AUGUUGAAGUGCAAACCGACCACCACACCCAUGUCGUCUACCGACAAGAUAACAGCUGUUGAUGGUGAGCUUUUGUCUCCUGCGGAUGCCACAGAGUACAGGAGCAUUGUUGGUGGACUUCAGUACUUGACGAUCACGAGACCAGAUAUCUCUUAUGCUGUUAACAGGGUUUGUCAGUAUCUUCAGGCUCCCAGAGAUACUCAUUGGGCUGCUAUUAAACGCAUUCUUCGUUAUGUUCAGUUCACCCUGACAUUUGGUAUGCAUAUUCGGCCGACUUCCUCUUGGGUCCUUUCGGCCUUCUCUGAUGCAGAUUGGGCUGGUAGUCCAAAUGACAGGCGAUCCACGGGGGGUUAUGCAGUAUUCUUUGGCUCUAAUUUGAUCGCCUGGAGUGCUCGGAAACAGGCUACUGUGUCACGUAGCAGUACUGAAGCUGAGUACAAGGCUGUGGCGAAUGCUACUGCAGAGAUUAUUUGGGUGCAGUCUUUGCUUCAGGAGUUGGGUUUGUCUCAACCACAGCCUCCUAUUCUUUGGUGUGAUAACAUCGGUGCUACAUACCUUUCUGCAAAUCCAGUAUUUCAUGCCCGAACGAAACACAUUGAAGUUGACUAUCACUUUGUACGGGAACGUGUAUCACAGAAGCAACUCCAGAUCAAGUUUAUCUUAUCUAAGGAUCAACUUGCAGACAUCUUCACUAAGCCUUUACCACUGCCACAGUUUGAGGCUUGUAGGCGCAAUCUUACCCUUCUCAGUUCUUUAGAAAGUGGCUAA
rnacentral:rRNA from 1 species